CAGUAGCCACGGGAAUACGUAGGUGGUAAGCGUUGUCCGGAAUUAUUGGGCGUAAAGCGCGCGCAGGCGGAUCAGUCAGUCUGUCUUAAAAGUUCGGGGCUUAACCCCGCGAUGGGAUGGAAACUGCUGAUCUAGAGUAUCGGAGAGGAAAGUGGAAUUCCUAGUGUAGCGGUGAAAUGCGUAGAUAUUAGGAAGAACACCAGUGGCGAAGGCGACUUUCUGGACGAGAACUGACGCUGAGGCGCGAAAGCCAGGGGAGCGAACGGGAUUAGAUACCCCCGUAGUCCCUGUCUCUUAUACA
rnacentral:rRNA from 1 species